rnacentral:lncRNA from 1 species
UCUAUAUUUUUUGUUUGGAAGUCCCAUAAACAGAAGAGAAGCAUUUAUGGUUACAAACACAGGAAUGCCAGAAGCCAUUAGAUGUGAGAAAAUACAAAAAAUAAAAUCCUCUCUUAGAGCUUUUAGAGGUAAAAUGUUUAUUUCUGUUUUCUGUAAGAAAACUAAAAUUUCUCUUUGGCCUGACAAUAUUUUGAUGUUUUAAACUUGUUUGGAAUUUCUAACUGUGUUUUGAAUUCACCUAUGCCUGGCUAUCUCUUGCCAGAUAACCACACUCUCUAAAACCUUACUGGUGCCUCAUAAAUCCUGGCUCCCACUGACCAAAUAACAAUUCUAAAUCUCAGUGGCAGUUCAUAAAUUCUAAUGUUUGGAGCUUAAUUUAUUUUCUUCCUUGAAAUGUUAGCCAUGUAGAUCCUUAACCUGCUAUCUGCCUUUGUUUUAUGCUUGUCAAAAUCUUGUUAGCUGUAAGUACUCUAGACACCCACCUCCUUUAUAACUUUUUGUGCUGUAAAAACUUUUUCCUGAAGAUCAGGGGGAUGAUCUCUAGCAUGGGUUUUUUUUAAGA